rnacentral:rRNA from 1 species
UACGUAGGGUGCAAGCGUUGUCCGGAUUUAUUGGGCGUAAAGAGCGUGUAGGCGGCCAGGUAGGUCUGCUGUGAAAACUCGAGGCUUAACCUCGAGACGUCGAUGGAAACCGUAUGGCUAGAGUCCGGAAGAGGAGAGUGGAAUUCCUGGUGUAGCGGUGAAAUGCGCAGAUAUCAGGAAGAACACCCGUGGCGAAGGCGGCUCUCUGGGACGGUACUGACGCUGAGACGCGAAAGCGUGGGGAGCGAACAGG